CAAUCGUCGCAGUUCUUCCGUUAGCUCGUAGUAACAGGGCGAAGAUGGCGUAGAGGAGGAGAAGGGGACGAGGGGAGCUUCUCCUCCUCUCCGAGGCUGUGAGGAGGGAGAAAGAGGAGCAGGGAGCCCGGAGUUUGUUUGCUUUUUUCGGUUCCUUCUUCAUGAAAUGUGUCCUCGGACCGGUUCACCCGAAUAAACCCGGGACAGACGUCAGUGUGUCCCCCCGCAGAGGAAGAAUCCCCCCCGGCUUUUGUUUACCAUGACGAGCCGCCGCAGCCCGAGCGCACCGCAGACAUACCUCCGCAUCCUCCCCCGGACCGACGCUCACACCAAGGAUGGAUUUUCCAGUCAGUGUCCCACACUGGAGGAAGAUCUCCCUUCAAACCACCCAGCGCCAACAACAGAUCACUUCCAAGACCAUGGAGCCCUGUGGAGGUAAAGAACGAAGAGUCACCGUGAAGAUGACCUCUUUAGGAACACGGGUCCCCCUCCACUGUCCCGGCCCAGCAUGAUCCUCCAUCAGGACAUCUGCCACGAUUGUGGGCUGGUCUGACUUUCCAUCACACACACUCGGACUUCAUCUACAUGUAGCCAAACGCCGGCUUUGCAAAGUUAACCGGCUUCAGAUCUCGGUGUAAGUGCCCCAAAAAGUCUCCAUGAUUUUGGGCAUUUUCAGCCAGAUCUGCACUAGAUUCUAAUCAGGCUGUAUGUAAAUGUAGUCACCGAUGCUUCCUAAAUAAGUCAAAAAAGUCCACACACACUCUGUAACUAGAGCAAAGCAGUUUGAUAAUGAACAAACUGCUCCCGUUUCCCGGGACAGAAAGAAAGGAAAGACACGAGAUACUGUAGCAAAGAUCAAGGCCUGUGAUUAAAUUAGAUUCAUAGUGUUUUUUUUGGUUUGUUUUUUUGGCACUACCUCAUCUCCAUAACAAGUCCAACAGGAGUGAAAGGGAGCGCGAUCAAGUACAAAGUACAACUUGAGGAUUGUGAAGCGCCGCAGCAGUUUUCCACCUGGAUGAGUUUGGUUUUAGUUUCAGAGGGUUAAUAAUAAAGAGAGCACAUGAAGCACACUGACAUUCACUUUCAGUUCAACCAUUUUGACCUAUGCAUCUGUCACCAGAUAGAAACUUUAUUUUUUAUUAUUUUCUUUCAUUUAUCAUGUUUGCAGUUUAAAAAAAAAGAAGCAGGUGGAGACAAAAAAUGGCAAUAUUCCCCCAAGAGAUCCAUAAAUUUGGGCAACUUACAGUAUUUUAAGUCUAGUCCAGUUUUCUCUCCUUCAUUUUGUCCUUAACAUACUUUUAUUUUUGUCCUUCCCCCCCCGGAUAUGUUCUCAAUUUGUCCUUUUUUUUUAAAUGUGCUAACCUGCUCCCGUUUUUGUUCUUCCCCCGCUUAAAACAAGCUUUUGUGUAAGAGACGUACAAACAGCACAGACGCACGUUUGAUUCCUUUUCGUGCCGUAAACCGCGAGACAAAAUAAUCUUUAAAAAAACAUCUCGCGUCGUCUCUCCCUCUCCCUCAGAGGAUUUGUCCUAACCUGAAUGAAACCCCUGGUCUUAUUUCUUUUCUUUUAAAUGAUUUAUAUGAGAUGAGAAGAAGAAAAAAAAUCACAUUUAACGGGAUUUGUGCAAUAUUUGAUCCUAACUGUCAUGUUGUUGACCAAACUGUAUAUUGUAUAAACAAGUGACAAGUUGUUUGAAAGCAACAAAAUCACCAAUGUCUUCCAUUAAGAUAUGUAUAGACUCAUGUUGCAUUAAGCUUAUUUAGCGGGACUCGUGGUGCCAACAUAAAUAGUAGCCAUGCAUGAUCCAGUAGUGAUGCUUGCUUCAUGAAGAAUAGUGAAAUCGAUUUCUAGACUUAAAGCUGUGGAGACUUCAUCUCAAAGGGCGAUAGAUUGACGUACUGCGCCUUUAAAACGCACCACGUUUAGACACAGCUUUAGCCCGAAAAUCUUAAGACUAAUACGAGAUCUCCUUUUUUUUUUUGUAGAAUAAAUUGCAUGAUUUUAAAAAUACCAGUUAAUGUGUGACACAAUCAGGGUAUGCAGUUAAAUAUUGAUUCCAGUGGUUUUAUAUUGUCGUAUGCGCUCAAUAUAAGUGAGUGAAACUGUUUCUUAGGAUGUCCUAAAUUGUAUUCAGAGACUCACAAGCAUCAAAAGAAAUUAGGUAGUUAUUAUGCAACAGCCCAAAAAAAAAAAAGCUCCCAAAAAAGUCUCAGAUGUGACAAAGAUAGAAACUUUAGUUAGUACUUUGAAUCCUUUAGGUUUGGGUAGAACUGCUCGGGAUCCUGACGUAGCGUCUUUUAGUCUCUAGAAUUAAGAUCUCACCAUGACAUUGUAUUGUACAUAAUACCUCAUAGUUUUUUGGGAUUCAGAGCGAUAUAUUUUAAUCCAUAAAAUUGUAUUUGAUUAGAGUUUUUAGAAGCAAUAACCUACAAUAAUGCAUGAGUUUAGUGCCAGGGUGUAAAUGUUUGAAAAAGGGGUCUGUGACGUCACGUGGAAAGGAUCUCCCUCCCUCUGUUUUAGCCUACGGUAGCUAUCUAUUAGUCACUUUUUAGUUUUUCUGGAGUGAUUUAGAAUACAGUAUCACUUCUGAGGGUCGGGGCAGAAUAAGGUAUACGUGAGGACAGCUGUAGCAUCAGUUAUUACACUGACAAAUGAUAUUUUCCCAGCCUUGUACACCAAAAAAACAAUAACUCAAAGCGAUGGGUACAUGAGAGAUGCUUUAAAUAUCAGUUCCUGUAGCAUUUUUACAUCGACGCCCACCCCGCCCUUAAGAAAUCUCGACUUUCAGUAACUCUGUGGCUGCAAAGGACUUACUGAAGGAACUUGACACUUGUUUGAAAAGCACUUUCUCUCCAUGUACUGACUUGCACCGUCACCACCACCAUCCUGUCUUUGAAUACCGUGUUCUAAAAACCCCGUACGGCUCUGUGGGGAUUUAUAAUCACACUUUAUAAGCAAGUAGGCGUCUAGCCACAUGAAUUAUAUGGUUUUAAAAAAAAAUAUGCAUGACUUUAGCAGAAUAAUGAAUGAUUUGUAUUGCAUGCAAUAAUCCAACUUUGUAAUGUGAAUGAGUGUUAAUUAGGCUAAUGAAGUGUUCAUGUCAGGUGUUCUGUGACCGGGUUUUGGGGGGGAACGGUUGUUUCACACAACAGCAAGCAUGUUGAAGUAGCUUCGAUCAUCAUCAGCUGUCUUUACAGACCAAACUGCACCAAAAAGAAGUGAACGGAGAGUGUGGGGUGUUUCUGCUCUCGCUCUCUGACCACGGCCGUACAGCCACAGUGCAGCUGAAAAAACACCAUCCAACCUUUGUUCCCAUUUUAAAAAAGAAAAAAGAAAUACAACAAACGCUUAGGUAAGAUGAUUAAUGACAUUACUUUGAUCAACUUUUCCACUGAGGAGGUGGACUGUGUAGAAACUAUGCACUCCAGAGGGAGGAAGUGGGCAUGCUUAUUACGUGUGAGCCUCUUGUCUGGUUUUGUAUUAACUAAAGAAAAAAAAAAGAAUCUGUAUCAGAAAUUCAGCAAUAAAAUGCAGCAUGGUGCCAA